rnacentral:rRNA from 1 species
AUCUGCCCGGGGGUCGAGGAUAGCGUCGGGAAACUGACGGUAAUACUCGAUAAUGUUUACGGACCAAAAGGUUUACUGCCCCUGGAUGAGCCCAUGCCCCAUUAGCUAGUUGGCGGUGUAAUAGACCACCAAGGCGAUGAUGGGUAGCUGGUGUGAGAGCACGACCAGCCUCACUGGCACUGAGACACUGGCCAGACACCUACGGGUGGCUGCAGUCGAGAAUCUUCGGCAAUGGACGAAAGUCUGACCGAGCGACGCCGCGUGCGGGACGAAGGCCUUCGGGUUGUAAACCGCUGUCGAGGGGGAUUAAGGGCAACUUGAAAGAACCCUGGAGGAAGGAGAGGCUAAGCUCGUGCCAGCAGCCGCGGUAAGACGAGCUCUCCAAACGUUAUUCGGUAUCACUGGGCUUAAAGAGUUCGUAGGCGGCUUUGCAGGUGGGGUGUGAAAGCCCUCGGCUCAACCGAGGAAUUGCGCCCCAAACCGCAAGGCUUGAGGGAUAUAGGGGUAAGCGGAACAGAUGGUGGAGCGGUGAAAUGCAUUGAUAUCAUCUGGAACACCGGUGGCGAAGGCGGCUUACUGGAUAUUUUCUGACGCUGAGGAACGAAAGCUAGGGUAGCGAACGGGAUUAGAUACCCCGGUAGUCCUAGCCGUAAACGAUGAGCACUAGUUUGAAGGACUCUCACAGGUCUUUCGAACGUAGCGAAAGUGUUAAGUGCUCCGCCUGGGGAGUAUGGUCGCAAGGCUGAAACUCAAAGGGAAUUGACGGAGGCUCACACAAGCGGUGGAGGAUGUGGCUUAAUUCGAGGCUACGCGAAGAACCUUAUCCUAGUCUUGACAUGCUUAAGAACCUGACUGAAAGGUUGGGGUGCCCGCAAGGGAGCUUUUGCACAGGUGCUGCAUGGCUGUCGUCAGCUCGUGUCGUGAGAUGUCGGGUUAAGUCCCUUAACGAGCGAAACCCCUGUCUCUAGUUGCCAGCGCGUUAUGGCGGGGACUCUAGAGAGACUGCCGGUGUUAAACCGGAGGAAGGUGGGGAUGACGUCAAGUCCUCAUGGCCCUUUAUGACUAGGGCUGCACACGUCCUACAAUGCAACAUACAAAAGGGAACCAAAAGUCGUGAGACCCAAGGAAAUCUCAAAA